GACGAACGCUGGCGGCGUGCUUAACACAUGCAAGUCGAACGGAAAGGCCCUGCUUGUGUGGGGUUCUCGAGUGGCGAACGGGGGAGUAACACGUGAGUAACCUGCUCUUGACUUUGGUAUAACUUCAGGUAACGGGGGCUAAUACCGUAUAGGAUCUCCUGCUCCAUGGUGGGGGUUGGAUAGUUUCGGCCGGUGGGGAUGGAUUCGCGGCUUAUCAGCUUGUUGGUGGGGGAGUGGCUUACCAACGGUUUGACGGGUAGCCGGCCCGAGAGGGUGGACGGCGACCAUGGGACUACGAUACGGCGCAGACUCCAACGGUAGGCAACAGUCGGGAGUAUUGCACAGUCAGAGCAAGUCUGAUAAAGAAGCGCCGGGUGCGGAAAGACGGCUUGCGGGUAGAGAAACGCUUUAGCUUGUGACGAAGCGUGAGUGACGGUACUGAAUGAAGAAGCACCGGCUAACUACGUG
rnacentral:rRNA from 1 species